rnacentral:rRNA from 1 species
GGGUCAGUAGGUUGGUCGUGCCACCGGUACGUACUGGUCUCACUGAUUCCUCCUUCCUGAAGAACCGUAAUGCCAUUAAUUUGGUGUUGCGGGGAAACAGGACUGUUACUUUGAAAAAAAUAGAGUGUUUAAAGCAAGCUAACGCUUGAAUUCAUUAGCAUGGAAUAAUGAAAUAGGACGAUCGAUCCUAUUUUGUUGGUUUCUAGGAUUGACGUA